GAGAGAUAUUUUAUAGGAGAUAAUUUUAUAAAACUUAACUACUAAGUUAUGUUCAAAAUAUCGAGUGAUAUUUUACUGAGAUAAUGAUUACAAGAAAAAUAAUAUCCUAAUUAUUCUAUAAAAUCAAACCACUCUCUCUCUUCAGUGAUUCGCAACCGGUUCCUAUUUCUUUUCUUCCCUUAUUUCUUUUAUUCUUCUUUCUUCCUUCUUUGUUUCUUCUCUAUUCUGUUGCCCGAAAACAGAGACAGCGAGAGAGAGUGAGACUGAGAUGAGAGAGAUUGAGAGACGAGAGAGUGAGAAUGGGGGAGAGAUGCUGAGAGUCAGAGAGAGAGACCGAGAGAUCGGGAGAGAGAGGAUCCGUGAGUGGGAGACUCGACGGGGCAGGAGGGAAAUCCGACCGCUCAGAGGUCCGGUUCUCGGUGGGUAGUGCUGGGUCGUCGCCGGCAGAGCCAAAGCGACGAUCGGCGGAACCCAGGGGUUUGAAUCCACAACCCAUUAGCCCAGAAAACCCGCGACCCGCAAGCUAAACCCGACGGAUCCGGGAGAAUCCGUGUGACCCGAUCCUUCCGGAGGUCCGAUCCUCCAUGUCCGGCAGUUCCAACGGCGGUUUCCGGUGAGCCGUGACCUGUGUGCAGCAACCCAGACGAAGACCCGAAGGCCCGUGACCCAAAACCCGACCCGGUGACCCGUCAGACAGAGAGGAAGACCCGGUUCUUCCUUUGCGUUUUCCGGCGGAUUUUCCGGCGGAAUCGGUGGCUUUCUCCGGUGGAUUUUCUGAUUAAAUCUUCAAGAUGUUUGCGCAGGUUCUGAAGAUUAUGGAUUGGAUUAACUGCUAGCUUAAGAGAUUUAAAGCUGUGUAGUUAGGAUUUCAGUACUUUGUACUCAUAAAUGUUUGUACUAUUUGCGUGUAACAUGUUUAGACAUUUACUUGUAUUUAUUAAGUCCCAUGUAUGCUUAGUGUCAUAUGUGACACAUGUUUCUUUGUAAAUGGUGUAAAGACUUUUAAUGUAUUUCUAGAGGAUGUCAGUUAAAGCUCUGAAUGUGUUGUAAAGGAA